rnacentral:rRNA from 1 species
UACGAAGGGGGCUAGCGUUGUUCGGAUUUACUGGGCGUAAAGCGCACGUAGGCGGAUCGUUAAGUCGGGGGUGAAAUCCUGGAGCUCAACUCCAGAACUGCCUUCGAUACUGGCGAUCUUGAGUCCGGAAGAGGUGAGUGGAAUUCCUGGUGUAGCGGUGAAAUGCGCAGAUAUCAGGAAGAACACCAAUGGCGAAGGCAGCUCACUGGGACGUUACUGACGCUGAGACGCGAAAGCGUGGGGAGCAAACAGG